rnacentral:rRNA from 1 species
UACGUAGGGAGCAAGCGUUGUCCGGAAUCAUUGGGCGUAAAGCGCGCGUAGGCGGCCCCGUAAGUCCGCUGUGAAAGUCAAAGGCUCAACCUUUGAAAGCCGGUGGAUACUGUGGGGCUAGAGUCCGGAAGAGGCGAGUGGAAUUCCUGGUGUAGCGGUGAAAUGCGCAGAUAUCAGGAGGAACACCUAUUGCGAAGGCGGGUUGCUGGGCCGACACGUGACGCUGAGGCGCGAAAGCCAGGGGAGCGAACGGG